rnacentral:rRNA from 1 species
GACGAACGCUGGCGGCGUGCUUAACACAUGCAAGUCGAACGAAGAGCGACGGAAGCUUGCUUCUAUCAAUCUUAGUGGCGAACGGGUGAGUAACGCGUAAUCAACCUUCCCUUCUGAGGGGGACAACAGUUGGAAACGAUUGCUAAUACCGCAUACGAUCUAAUCUCGGCAUCGAGGAUGGAUGCAAGGUGGCCUCUACAUGUAAGCCAUCACUGAAGGUGGGGAUUGCGUCUGAUUAGCUAGUUGGAGGGGUAACGGCCCAACAAGGCGAAGAUCAGUAGCCGGUCUGGUAGGAUGGACGGCCAAAUCUGGAAUGAGACACGGCCCAGACUCCUACGGGAGGCAGCAAUGGGGAAACUUCCGCAAUGGACGAAAGUCUGACGGCGCAACGCCGCGUGAGUGAUGACGGCCUUCGGGUUGUAAAGCUCUGUUUGUCGGGACAGAAGGCCUUCUUGCGAAUAGUGAGAAGGAUUGACGGUACCGAAAUAGAAAGCCACGGCUAACUACGUG